UACGAAGGGGGCUAGCGUUGCUCGGAAUCACUGGGCGUAAAGCGCACGUAGGCGGCUUCUUAAGUCAGGGGUGAAAUCCUGGAGCUCAACUCCAGAACUGCCUUUGAUACUGGCGAUCUCGAGUCCGGGAGAGGUGAGUGGAACUGCGAGUGUAGAGGUGAAAUUCGUAGAUAUUCGCAAGAACACCAGUGGCGAAGGCGGACUCACUGGCCCGGUACUGACGCUGAGGUGCGAAAGCG
rnacentral:rRNA from 1 species